GCAGGUGACUGGGACUGUCAUUCUCUAGAUCCUACAGUGUGGCAUCAUCCAGUUACAUGGCAGCCAUCCAAAGAGGGUGACCACCUGAUCGGACGCAUCACGCUGAGCAAGAGAUCGGCAAUGCCCCGUGAGGCUGGCUCUCUCCUCGGCCUGAAAGUGGUAGGAGGGAAGAUGACAGAGAUGGGGAGACUUGGGGCCUUCAUCACCAAAGUCAAGAAAGGCAGCCUUGCAGAUGUUGUUGGACACCUACGAGCGG